GACGAACGCUGGCGGCGCGCCUAACACAUGCAAGUCGAACGAGCGAGAGGGAGCUUGCUUUCUCGAGCGAGUGGCGAACGGGUGAGUAACGCGUGAGGAACCUGCCUCAAAGAGGGGGACAACAGUUGGAAACGACUGCUAAUACCGCAUAAGCCCACGGGUCGGCAUCGACCAGAGGGAAAAGGAGCAAUCCGCUUUGAGAUGGCCUCGCGUCCGAUUAGCUAGUUGGUGAGGUAACGGCCCACCAAGGCGACGAUCGGUAGCCGGACUGAGAGGUUGAACGGCCACAUUGGGACUGAGACACGGCCCAGACUCCUACGGGAGGCAGCAGUGGGGAAUAUUGCACAAUGGGGGAAACCCUGAUGCAGCGACGCCGCGUGGAGGAAGAAGGUCUUCGGAUUGUAAACCUCUGUCGCAGAAGACGAAGGAAGUGACGGUAUUCUGUGAGGAAGCCCCCGGCUAACUACGUG
rnacentral:rRNA from 1 species